rnacentral:rRNA from 1 species
AGAGUAUGAUCCUGGCUCAGAUUGAACGCUGGCGGCAGGCCUAACACAUGCAAGUCGAACGGUAACAUUUCUAGCUUGCUAGAAGAUGACGAGUGGCGGACGGGUGAGUAAUGCUUGGGAACUUGCCUUUGCGAGGGGGAUAACAGUUGGAAACGACUGCUAAUACCGCAUAAUGUUUUCGAACCAAACGGGGCUUUGGCUCCGGCGCAAAGAGAGGCCCAAGUGAGAUUAGCUAGUUGGUAGGGUAACGGCUUACCAAGGCGACGAUCUCUAGCUGUUCUGAGAGGAAGAUCAGCCACACUGGGACUGAGACACGGCCCAGACUCCUACGGGAGGCAGCAGUGGGGAAUAUUGCACAAUGGGGGAAACCCUGAUGCAGCCAUGCCGCGUGUGUGAAGAAGGCCUUCGGGUUGUAAAGCACUUUCAGUUGUGAGGAAAAGUUAGUAGUUAAUACCUGCUAGCCGUGACGUUAACAACAGAAGAAGCACCGGCUAACUCCGUGCCAGCAGCCGCGGUAAUACGGAGGGUGCGAGCGUUAAUCGGAAUUACUGGGCGUAAAGCGCACGCAGGCGGUUUGUUAAGCUAGAUGUGAAAGCCCCG